AGGUGAUGCAGACAGAACAGAGGAUGCUGACCACGAGAGACAGACCUAUUCCUAACAUCAGUGAACUUCAGCAUGGACUCAAAGGAAAGGACAUACCUGAAGGACACAACUGCCUUACCGUUUUCUCAGAGGGGCAAGAAUAAAAUGAAAAGCUGAUAUCAGAUUAAAGACCAAUACAGGACAUUCAAUAAGAAACUACUCUUUUAUUGUCGAGACAAAAGUCAAUAUGUAAUAAUAUCUGUGAAAAACGGACUGAGAAAUAAUGAUGUGUUUUCGUUUAGAGUAUUAUUAUUAUUAUUAUUAUUGUAUUGUUCAAUACCAAGAGAGGGUAUUCGUUUUAUUUUGGACCAAGGCUACCUUUCAUAAGAGAGCUGUAUUGAAAUAAUAUGAAUGCCGCUUCUGGUAACACGGCAACAUGAGGGGCGUAGUUUGUGAUGGCCGGUCUCUUGUUCUCAAAGCCACGGAGGGAGAACCAGGCGACAGUGUGUGUGAGGCUCCGGAGACGCCGUUGGUAUGUUUCUCCGGUGUUUAUUGUGGUUUAUGUACUUGAUCUGUUGCCUCACUUUGCGAGAGUGCUGUUGCUGACUACUUUUUACGCAGCGCGGUCUGCCUGUGCUCCGUUUGUUUGCUGUGUAAUUUAGACAGCGCAGGUGUUCAGAUGAGGUUUUCUCUGGUGCUUGUCUCCAAGGAGAGAUAAACACUCUUAUUAAUUCAUUUAAGUUAAUGAUGUGGUUUUAAAAUAACAAGUUAUCCUUUUAAUUAAAACAUGGUUUGUGUUGCUAUUAUUAUUAUUAUUAUUGAGAAUGCAGUGAGGCCUGCAAAAUGUUUGUAAUGUGUGUUUGCAUGUGAGCUAACAUUUGUUUGUACGUUGUGUUUUGAAGGUUUUCAACCUGAUGAAUUCUUGGAGCUGUCUUAAAUAAA